rnacentral:tRNA from 1 species
UGCAAAAUUGGAGACGCACCCUAAAAGGUGCCGGGGCUUCUCCCGUUUUAAGAGAGACGGGAGAAGG